rnacentral:rRNA from 1 species
CUACGGGUUGCUGCAGUAGGGAAUAUUGGGCAAUGGGCGCAAGCCUGACCCAGCAACGCCGCGUGCGCGAAGAAGGCCUUCGGGUCGUAAAGCGCUUUUCUGAGGGAUGAGAAAGGACAGUACCUCAGGAAUAAGCCUCGGCUAACUACGUGCCAGCAGCCGCGGUAAAACGUAGGAGGCGAGCGUUAUCCGGAUUUACUGGGCGUAAAGCGGGUGCAGGCGGUCUGGCAAGUUGGAUGUGAAAGCUCCCGGCGCAACUGGGAGAGGUCGUUCAAAACUACCGGACUAGAGUGUACAGAGGGAGAUGGAAUUCCCGGUGUAGUGGUGAAAUGCGUAGAUAUCGGGAGGAACACCAGUGGCGAAAGCGAUCUUCUGGGAUACUACUGACGCUCAGACACGAAAGCUAAGGUAGCGAACGGGAUUAGAUACCCCAGUAGUC